rnacentral:lncRNA from 1 species
AGAAAUUGAAAGUUAAACAGAUUGAAAAAUAGCAAGUCAGGAGCCCGCCUGUAGAACAGGGUGAAGAAGUUGAAAGCAUGACAACAAGUUGAUGAAAUAGCAAGUCAGGAACCCGCCUAGAGAAUAGGGUGAAAAAAAUGUAAAGUCAAGCAACAAAGUGAAGAAGUUGAAAGUCAAGCAACAAGGUGAAGAAGUUGAAAACAAAGCAACAAUGUGAAAAUUUGAAAGUUAGCAGAUUGAAAAAUAUCAAGUCAGGAGCCCGCUUGAAGAAUAGGGUGAGGAAAUUGAAAGUUAAGCAACGAGGUGAAACAAUUGAAAGCCAAACAAUAAGUUGAUGAAAUUGAAAGUCAGGAGCCCGCCUGAAGAAUAGGGUAAUGAAACUCAAGUCAAAAGUCCAGAAGAAG